AACCGGCAUGUCGUGAUCAUUUGGGGGAUACUGGUUUGGAAGGCGUUAACUCCGGGAGGUAGGGACCCACCUACUUGGACCACUGAGAGCCAAGUACAGCCUAGUGGUCAGGAGCCAGCAGCAUCGUCUCUGGCUGUCUUUGACCAGACCCCUUCACCAGCGCCAGCGCCGAGGCGUCUUGCCCGGAAAUUCCCAGAGAGUCAAAGCAAACUUCCCAGGAAAACUCCUCGGCUUCCUCCAAGCCUCUGUCACCGAGGCGGCUGCCAAGAGCGCCAGCGGAGUCUUUGCAGCUGCCGCGGGCCCUCCAGGGCGGGAGCCGCCGCUCGAGCGCUCGGGGUCCUCCCGGAAAGGUCCGGGGCUGAAGUUCAAAAUUCACUUCCCGCCCAGGCCGGGCUCACCGCCCCGCCUGGGACUCUCCGGCAACCCCUACGUCUCCGGCCCUCCCCAGCUCCAGUUAAGUCCUGGAGCGCCUCCAGCCUGAAGACCCAUGCGGGCAGCUGGGCGAAUCCCGCGGGCGAUCCCUGCGCUCCUGGGGACGCGAAGCAGCAAGAGCCGGCGCACACACACAACCUUGUGUGCUGCCACCGCUCUCCACAAGGACCCGGGUUUGCCAGGGAGGAGUCGCCACUGCCCAGCGUUGUUGGAGAGACAAGGUCUUGCAAUGUUGCCCAGGCUAAUCUCAAAUUCCUGGGCUCAAGUGAUCUUCUCACCUCGGCCUCUGAGAGUGCUGGGAUUACAGGUGUGAGCCACCACACUUGCCCAUUAAGGCUGAAUUAUAACGGUAUGUCUGUCCAGAACCCAGCAUGUAAACUUGUUAAUCCUGUGAGGAUGGUUUCCGCAUCCUAACCCUAACAUUGAACCUUUAACCAUCAUCCCCAACCCAAUAACAUCUUCUUUCCCAUCCAGUAAAUGGUACUAGCACCUAUCUAGUGGCUCAAGUAAAAAACCUAGCCAUUGCCAGGCGCAGUGGCAUGUGCCUGUAGUCUCAGCUACUGGGGAGGCUGAGGUGGGAGGAUCGCUUAAGCCCAGGAGUUCUGGGCUGUAGUGCGCUAUGCCGAUCAGUUGUCCAAACUAAGUUCGGCAUCAAUAUGGCAACCUCCCGGGAGCAGGGGACCACCAGGUUGCCUAAGGAGGGGUGAAACGGAGCAGGUCAAAACUCCCAUGCUGAUCAGUAGUGGGAUCCUGCCUGUGAAUAGCAACUGCACUCCAGCCUGGACAACAUUGUGAGACCCCCUCUCUAAAAAAAACAAACAACAACAACAACAACAAACCUAGCCAUCAUCUGUGAUUGUUUCUUUCUCAUGUAGUCAAGUUAGUGAGUCAUUGGCCUAUCUCCAAAAAUAUAUCCCAAUUCAUCCAUUCCUCUGUUUUCACCACCCCACCCUAAUCCAGGCCACCAUUACCUAUCUCUCAGCUAGACUACAAUAGCCUCAAGGCUUCUGAGAGCUGAUACCACCUGCAGGGAGUUCAUUUCACUGAGGCUGUUUGUAUCCGAAUGACUUUAAUAUUUGUUCCAGAAAUUUCUUGCCCAGGAAGAUAAGAUGGUAAACCAGUAAAUAACUUCAUUAUUUGUUUCAGGAACUUCCUGAAAGUCAACUUAUCUGAAUAAUAGACUGCUCAAACAGUCCCCUUCUUGGGACAAUAGUUUGCUUAACUGGGC
rnacentral:lncRNA from 13 species